rnacentral:rRNA from 1 species
CCUACGGGUGGCUGCAGUGAGGAAUAUUGGUCAAUGGGCGAGAGCCUGAACCAGCCAAGUCGCGUGAAGGAUGACGGCCCUACGGGUUGUAAACUUCUUUUGUCAGGGAGCAAUUGAGUCCACGUGUGGUCUUAGCGAGAGUACCUGAAGAAAAAGCAUCGGCUAACUCCGUGCCAGCAGCCGCGGUAAUACGGAGGAUGCGAGCGUUAUCCGGAUUUAUUGGGUUUAAAGGGUGCGUAGGCGGAAUAUCAAGUCAGCGGUAAAAAUUCGGGGCUCAACCCCGUCGUGCCGUUGAAACUGGUUUUAUUGAGUGAGCGAGAAGUAUGCGGAAUGCGUGGUGUAGCGGUGAAAUGCAUAGAUAUCACGCAGAACUCCGAUUGCGAAGGCAGCAUACCGGCGCUCAACUGACGCUCAUGCACGAAAGUGUGGGUAUCGAACAGGAUUAGAUACCCUUGUAGUC